rnacentral:sRNA from 1 species
ACAUAAACCCGAUAGCAGUGAAAUCCUUUUUGUUUGUAGCAUCCUUAAAUAUGCUGUCAUGCUGAGGCACGAAGCAUCUUAAACCGAUGAAAGAGAUGCUUCGUGCCUCAGCAUGACAGAAGCUGCAAAAAGAUUGAACGAAUAGCCGGGGCCGGA